rnacentral:rRNA from 1 species
AGUGAACGCUGGCGGUAGGCCUAACACAUGCAAGUCGAACGGCAGCACAGGAGAGCUUGCUCUCUGGGUGGCGAGUGGCGGACGGGUGAGGAAUACAUCGGAAUCUACUCUGUCGUGGGGGAUAACGUAGGGAAACUUACGCUAAUACCGCAUACGACCUACGGGUGAAAGCAGGGGAUCUUCGGACCUUGCGCGAUUGAAUGAGCCGAUGUCGGAUUAGCUAGUUGGCGGGGUAAAGGCCCACCAAAGCGACGAUCCGUAGCCGGUCUGAGAGGAUGAUCAGCCACACUGGAACUGAGGCACGGUCCAGACUCCUACGGGAGGCAGCAGUGGGGAAUAUUGGACAAUGGGCGCAAGCCUGAUCCAGCCAUACCGCGUGGGUGAAGAAGGCCUUCGGGUUGUAAAGCCCUUUUGUUGGGAAAGAAAUCCAGCUGGCUAAUACCCGGUUGGGAUGACGGUACCCAAAGAAUAAGCACCGGCUAACUUCGUGCCAGCAGCCGCCGUAA